UACGUAGGGUGCGAGCGUUUGUCCGGAAUUAUUGGGCGUAAAGAGCUUGUAGGCGGUUUGUCGCGUCUGCUGUGAAAUCCGGGCUCAACCCCGGACUUGCAGUGGGUACGGGCAGACUAGAGUGUGGUAGGGGAGAUUGGAAUUCCUGGUGUAGCGGUGGAAUGCGCAGAUAUCAGGAAGAACACCAGUGGCGAAGGCGACACACUGGCCAUUACUGACGCUGAGGCGCGAAGCGUGG
rnacentral:rRNA from 1 species